GGCGUUACUAUUGAGUGAUCAAUGCCAUAUUAAAGUCAAUUUAUGCAGCAUUAUUGAAAAUAAACCCGUUUCACUUUUCUUUCUUUUGUUAGUCAUAGGGUUUUUCCCGUCGUUGUCAUCAACAGAUCCAGGUAGAAAAAUGCCGAUCCAGGCCCUUGAAUUUGACUGAAAGUUUGGUUAUCUCACAAUAGGUGGGAAAAGUAAUGGCAUUCAUGGAUAAAAAUAGAAAAUUUUCUUACUGUAAAGUGGUGGAAGUACAUGGACAACUGCUCUAUUGACUCCCAUUGGAAAUCUUCUUUCUGAGUUACCAUCUGAUAGAGUGGAUACUUCUCCAAGAUUAACUUUGCAGCAUUUUUCUUACCUUGAUUCACCCGCAAUACUAGAAAUCAGAGAGGCGUGACUUAUACCAUCUUAGUUUUCGCUUUUAUAAUGUUACAUUCAAUCCAGUCACAAACUAAUUUGUGACUGCAUAUGCUGUUAAAUUACCGACUGCAACCCCAGGUCCCAACACAGCAAGGGAAAGGGCUUAUAGGCAUUUUGGGUUCCUAGAGUGUUUUUUUCCAAAAUGAAAAUUCAGAUACCAGGUAAUGUUGCAAGUCGGUGUUGUUACAUCCAGCUUUUGUUGAAUGAUUUUUGUGUAUCGAGCUGAUUAUUUUGUAUGUGUUGCCCUGUUCUGUUUGUGUAAAAUAUUAUGCAAGGCCACCCCUACCAAAAUAUAACUGUGCGAGGCUUACCCCUACCAAAAUUGUUGGCCACAACAGAUAUUACCAUGUAUUGCAGAGACUGUAGUAAGAAAGUUGUGGGCGAUGACGGAGACCAUUGGUGUACCAAAUUUAUAAUAGAAGUUAGUGGUCCCAGGAACAAAACUCUGCCGCUUGUUGCACUUUGAAGUUGAAUAUUAAACAGCAGCCGACCUGCACAUGGUGGAGAGGUAAAAAAAGUUUGAGACAUCUUCGUGGUUUUAACUGUCUAUUAUGCGACUUAUUAUGAAGCUCACAAUACGAGACAACACCAAAGCGAAGGCUUGCAUUUGAACCAAUCUUGAGUCCAGCGAUUAACCUCCAGAUAACAUUCAAUGCAUUUACUAUGGAGAAACAACCGAUGCAGAGCUUUGCCUUUAUAGUUUGGCAGAGAUGAAGCCACCCCCACCCCAAACAAGAUCUGCAAAAACAAGCGAGGUGAGGGUAAUAAAUUGAUUUUUCCCCCUCCAAUCUUAAUAUAAUGAUAUUAGAUUAGGUAAAAAAAGCUCUGCAUUGGUUGUUUCUGUGUGGCCCACUUCCAAUUAAAAUUCACUUUGCUAAAGAGUAUAAGGUGGAGCAUGUGUUAGACGGAGAUGAGAAGGAUGAAGCCGCCACGGGAUGAAAAAAGAUGGUUCAGUGUCAGCAUUUGGAAAAUGUAAGGUAAUGGAAUGUUGGUGGGUUGAUUACCUCCAAGUAGCAGGCUUGAGUUGUUUGAAACAAAAUUAACAACAAUGCUAACUCGGUGUCACAUUAAUUACAUGGGCACGGGCAUAUAGUCCCCCGCAAAGCCAUGCGACUAUAAUGCUCAAUGAUUGUCAAGUGCAAUCACCUCAUAAUUUAUGUAUUUUUUAUAAAUUAAUUGUUGAGUGGUCGAGUUCAUAAUUAUGCCUGUAUCGUAUGCGAUAUUUCGGAUAAUUAUUAUU